GUCUAGUCCAAGAUGUGUGUUUGGGGCGCAAGUUCCUUCACACGUCGAAACCGCGGACGGCUCAUUAAAUCAGUCGUGGUCCUAAUGGGCUAGUGUUAUCCUACUUGGAUAACUGUGGUAAUUCCAGAGCUAAUACAUGCAACUCUUAAUCCCUCGGGCGUGGGGGCAACCUCGCGACUGUCGGAUGCUUUUAUUAGACCAAACCGCUAGACGGGGUGCUUGCACUCCUAAAGGCUCGUGUUAUGGUGACUCUGGAUAACAAAUCAAUUGACAAGCGCACGUAUCCAUUUACUUGGGACGGCGCUGCCACUUUCGAGUGUCUGCCUUAUCAGCUAUGUAUCGUUCGUUAUGUGCAAACGAUGGCUUUGACGGGUAACGGGGAAUCAGGGUUCGAUUCCGGAGAGGCAGCCUGAGAAACGGCUACCACGUCCAAGGACGGCAGCAGGCACGCAAAUUACCCAAUCCCAGCACACGCUCGGGGAGGUAGUGACGAAAUCUAACGAUGCGGGCGCCCCUUCUGGGGCCCCGCAAUCGGAAUGAGCAUUUUCUUUCUAAACACCCUGUUGAGAACCUACUGAAGGGCAAGUCUGGUGCCAGCAGCCGCGGUAAUUCCAGCUUCAGCAGCAUCUACUAAAGUUGCUGCGGUUAAAAGGCUCGCAGUUGAAUGUCAGUAUCAAGUGUAGCGAUGGUGGACGUUGGGGUGGUGGUGWUGUGGGAGAGGAGCUUCAUUGUGACUUUUCCCUUCGCUACUAAUAGCUCCCGUCCGUAACAAGCCUCCUCACUUGCGUACAAAGUGAAAUCUAUUUGGUGGAUAUGUUUAACGCGGACUCGUGGGUCGUGUUGUUCGGGCUUCCGCGCGCCGCAUUCAUAUGCGUGCGUGUAUUGCGCGACUGCGCUUCUCGCUUGGCCGUGUAUUUGAUGCCUGGUUUUCAAAGUCACCUUGAGUAAAUCAGAGUGCUCAAAGCAGUCGUAAGGGAUUUGCGUGCAUUCGUGUACGCGGUCCUGUGAUUAAAUGUCUUUAUUGACAGACGGUCUUGGUUUUGCAUGGUAUGUCGUAAGACGCCGCAACUCUCGUUGGUAACGAGUCUGGUGCGGGCUGCUUGUGGCAGUGGGUUAGUGCUGUUCGCGGCGCUCUCUCGCUGUCCUGGCACACACGGGACCAACGAGUGCGGAAUGAUUAAAAGGCACGGUCGAGGGCAUUGGUAUUGCGAGGCGAGAGGUGAAAUUCAAUGACCCCCGCAAGACCUCCUGAAGCGAAAGCGUCUGCCAAGGACGUUUCACUAAUCAKAACGACUGCGGCUUAMUUUGACUCAACACGGGCCAUCUCACCAGGCCAGCACUCUUGUACGAUUGACAGAUUGAGAGUUCUUUCUCGAUUCAGUGGAUGGUGGUGCAUGGCCGUUCUUAGUUGGUGGAGUGAUCUGUCUGGUUAAUUCCGAUAACGAACGAGACUCUCCCCUGCUAACUAGUCGGUUGGAUCUUGCGUUUGGAGAGUUGUCGUUGUCGCGUUUGUGCGCGUGUGUUCUACUCGCAGCCCCUCGGGGUUCGUGUGGGGCUCCGCAAGCAUCGUGGCUUCACACUCCAAGUCCGCCGCUUAUUUGAUUUUGUGUGCGUGUGAGGUGUAACAGCCGAGCCACACACAUGGUUGUAAGACUCUUCUUAGAGGGAUUCACGGUUCUGAAGCCGUAAGAAACCGAGAGCAAUAACAGGUCUGUGAUGCCCUUAGAUGUUCUGGGCCGCACGCGCGCUACAAUGCCGUGCUCAACAGGUGUUCAUCCUUCUCCGAGAGGAGUGGGUAACCCUUUGAAAGCACUAUAUCAUACUUUUGCACGCGUACCGAGGCCUCGUGUCUCUGGUGCGUUGCAUAUGGCUUGCUUGGGCCUGGGUCUUGCAAUUCUUUCCCACAAACGAGGAAUGCCUAGUAGUGGCGGGUCACAGAGCUCGCUGUGACUCAGUCCCUGCCCUUUGUACACACCGCCCGUCGCUACUACCGAUUGGGUGUACCAGUGAGAUCCUUGGACUGGCGAGCCUUGCACGGAAGCUCACGCUCGAGUGCAAGUGUGUACGACUCGAAGAGGCUCGAACUGGUGCACUUA
rnacentral:rRNA from 1 species